rnacentral:tRNA from 1 species
UGGGGGGUAGGCUAAUAAAAGCCGUAGGGUUUCGGUUUCUAAGAUCUAUUAAUUAGUUUUCUGU